CGGAGGGUGCGAGCGUUAUCCGGAAUUACUGGGUUUAAAGGGUGCGUAGGCGGCUUUGUAAGUCAGGAGUGGAAGUUUGCGGCUCAACCGUAAAAUUGCUUCUGAUACUGCAUGGCUAGAAUUAGGAUGAGGUCAGCGGAAUGUGGCAUGUAGCGGUGAAAUGCAUAGAUAUGCCAUAGAACACCAAUUGCGAAGGCAGCUGACUAGACCUGGAUUGACGCUGAGGCACGAAAGCGUGGGGAGCGAACAGGAUUAGAUACCCUGGUAGUCCACGCCCUAAACGAUGCUUACUCGACGUAUGAUGCUAGACAUUGUGCGUCCAAGGGAAACCGUUAAGUAAGCCACCUGGGGAGUACGACCGCAAGGUUG
rnacentral:rRNA from 1 species